UUGUUGUAGUAGUUGUUCUUAUUGUAGUUGUUGUAUUAGUGGUUGAUGUUACAAUAAGGAGAAGAAGAAGAGAAAAAAAUAAGAAGUAGUAGUAGUUGUUGUUAUUGUAGUUGUUGUAGUAGUAGUUGUUGUAGGAGAGAAAAAAUAAGAAGGAGAGAAGAAGAAGAGGAGGAGAAGAACAAAAGAAGAAGAAGAAGAAGAAAAGAAGAAAAGAAGAAGAAAAAAAUAAGAAGGACAAGAAGAGAAAAAAGAAGAAAA
rnacentral:lncRNA from 1 species